CAACACGAAACAUGCUCCGAAGGCGCCUUCUGUUCGUUCUCUUUCGCACCCGUCCCGUUUCGCUAUUGCUUUCGCUCGCACGUACGCGUUUCGCUCUGCUGCUGGAAUUUCUCAUCUCAAUGUCCAUUCCAGCAGCGGCAUGCACGGACGUGUUAUCGCGCGUUGCUAAUUUUACGUAUUUUACGUACGCGUAUUUCGCACGACCAGCAACACCGUGUAUCAUUUGUGAAAGCUUACCUGGUGUAGAAGAAAUAAAAGAAAGAAGAAAGCAACGUUCCUGUAGCUUCGCUAUUUUGGCAAGUAAAGUGCAUUGUUCGAGUGGAAUAAAAGUAAAAAAACAACAACUACUCAUUACAUCAAUGGAAUUAGUGAACCGAUCUCAGUUGAGUGUUGAAAAAUAAAAAAAUUAAUAAAGCGAAAACAAAAUGAUUUAACGAAAUAAACACGAAUCCGAAGUGUCCGAUCAAGUAUAUGUGCAACGAUUGAAUAAAUGAAACAAAAGAAAAAAAACCAAAACAUACAACUGUACAAAAACCCACUUUGAGGAGUUAAAGCCGGCCGUUUUGUUAGCACCGAUUGGCCGCGACAGCGAAUGAAUUAAACGACCGCCAUAGCAAGGUGAGUAAGUCAAGUGGCCGUCGAAUGGAAAGGGUUAAUUAAUGAACAAUUUUUAAAGGAGGGAAAAAUACAUCGUUCGCCUGUGUGUGUGUGUGUGUGUGUACUGGUGCUGUUAGCAAACGGAUUGGGGUUAAGGUAAGGGGUCUUUUGGAUCAAGUUCCCCUCGGGCACGCGUUAGUACACCUCAUUGAUCGCAUCUUUGCGCUUGUGUAUGUGUGCAAACCGGUACCAGAUCAUUCCAGCAUCCAGCACUCUUUCUUCGCCUAAAACAAUUACAGGGAAGAUAAGAAAAAUAAUCAAAAACAAACAAUAUGAAACCAUUUCGUCUGUGUGAGCGGAAUGAUCGCCAGUGAGCGUUACUUUAUUCACGCAUGAUCGCAUACUGUCUCACGCUCACCCCGUUACGAUCGCUGCUCAUUCUCACUGCCUCACCUUUUGCCGUGGCGGUUUCGCUGAGUCAGCGAACCUCAAUUCCAUGCCAUUUUCGUACGUUUCGUCUUGACCGAGGGCAAAACAGCAACUUCAGGUUUUUUUUUGUUUUUUUUUUUUUGGUGGCAACGAUCCGUUGCAACCACUACACACGUACAAUAAGGGAACGCAUAGCGAAACAUACAUCGUUUUGCACAACAGGUUCCCCGAAAAGGGGGUUUAUGCUUCACACCAUGCCGCACUGUGCGAUGCAUGUAUGGCGAACAAGCGCGAUCACUGCUGUAUUAUGCUGGAGGAGUGUGUUUGUACGAGUGGGCUAAAGCAUAACUCGCCCACAGUUGAACUCGCGAAUGUUAGACAUGAAGUGUGGAGUUUUGUUGUUUGUAAUCUUUUCCAACAAUGUUUCCUUUUCCCUGGCUGUGUUUGUGUGGGAUGCUGAUGAACGUUCGAUGAUGCUACCUGGUACCGGUUGCAUUUGCUGCAUUAAUGCAUUCCCCCGCUUGGAUGUUAAAAAGGGGUUCUAGAUUCUGACCGCUCCAGGCAAUGGAUGAUGUUUGUAAACAGACGCUGUUGCGGGUGGAGUAUACACUUUGGCCAUAAAACGCAGCACUGAAAUCUCUACAGAUGCAUCGAUGCAUCCGUAUGUAUGUGUGUGUGUGGAUCAUGUUGAUUUUCAAAAGUCGUACGUAAAGACGCCGUACAAUGCGGCAAAACCGGUGCAACGCGAUGCGUUCCAUAAAAGGAAGUAAAGUAAAACCCAGGCCUCCACAUCAUUGUCGUUCGAGGGGUGUUUGAUUUCUUGUGCGCUGUGCACGGUUGGAAGUGCGCUUCGAUGUUGUUUCGCUGUGUAGCGUUAGCUAUUUUUAUCUUCGUUCUACGCCGGCUAAGCGACCCUUACAGCGGUCUGAACUGAAGUUUGCAUUGCGUCUGUGUGUUACUGUGUUUGUCCCGUACCAAGUUUCCGAUCCGGUACUUUCAGUGCUGCCACUUGAUAAGGAGGUUUGAAAAGAAUGCAAACGGCGCUGUAAGAGCAACCAUUCGGUGCUUUAUCGAAAGCUUCGAUGCCACCGCUAGGAGGGGGAAAACCAUUCUGGAGCAAUGGAUGCAAAUGUUGCACAUCUUUUGCCUGGCCGGAAAUAUCUUGCAAAACAAGCGCGAAUGCACAACCAGUGUUUGUGCAUGUCAGGGGGUUGAUUCCACCCCGGGGGGAUGAGGUGUGGAAGUAGCUGAGCGAAUGAACCUUCGGAGACAGUAAGAACAGUCAUUGUUACGCGCAUAAGAAUAGGACGUGUUGAAAUUGCAUUAAAUAUUGAUUUUGUGCUGCAUUUCUUCCGCAUUCUGCAUGUUUCACUAAUUGCAUUUUCUAGUGACUUUUUUCCGCGUAACGCGCGCUACUUGAGUUGGGCUUAUCGGUUGAGUUGAGCAAAUAAUUCGUUUGCUUAAAUUAGAAAAGAUAACAGCGAUGGGUUGUUGCAAAAGAUAGCUUUGAAAAUCGCAUUUGCAGCAAACAGCUGUUUGCGUCUUUGUUGGUUGUUGAGUCACAAAUAAAAGAAUCUUAAAAUUAAGCAAACAACAAACACGAUAUGAAUGUUGUUGUCGUGAAUGUGUAAUUGAGUAUGUUCUCCAAGUUGAAAAUAAUACACUUGAAUCAUCAGAAUUGAUUGAACGAACGCAAACAUUAGUCGGUCGGUUUCCGUGUUUAUGUUGGUUUUUUCUUCUUCGAAAGAAACUAAUGAUAAACGCUCAUAGAACUAUAUCAGCCUUUUGGUUAAAUGUAAUGUGCAAUAAAAAAACUACCGUAGAAAAGGAAGCGUCAUAGACAAAGGAAGCAAUAACAAAAAACAUACAAAAAAUCCCCAACAUAAACAAAACUUACGCGACUAUAUACGGCUAAAGAUAGCAGAAAGCCUAGCCAAACGCGUGUGUGAUUGACGCAUUUUUCCUAGAAAAUAAUGAAACCCGAUUGAUCGUACCGAUGUGGAAGCUCGCGUUUUCGUGAUUCAUAAAAAUGGGGCACAAUUUUUCUUCCCGUGGCCACCACCGUUUUAGCGUGUACGUGCGUGUAAGCGAACGGAAAAAAUAGAGUAUCGUAAAAUGUUUUACCACACAGACACACACACUUCCAAGCAAGCUGGCUCAUUCUGUCCUUUUUGGGGCUAGUUCGUGUCUGGGGGUGGUAGUAGUAGCUCACGAAACAACAACCCCUCCAACCCGAUUAUUUCCACAACACAGUAAAUGGGCUCCUUUAAGAAAAAGUGGUUUUCGUUUGCGAGUGACGACAUAUUCGUUUAAGUGCCUACCAACGGCAAUAUGGAAGAGUUCUGACACGUGAAAAUGGUUGGUUCUUGGUGGAGAAAAAAAAAUCCCCCAGUUAGCUCUGUGGGUGGGCGCUGAUUCACCAUUAACUUGCUAUAUGAUCCAUUUUUAUCCAUUUGAGCGUGUAUUUUUUUUUCCUCUUCUUUUAAGGUUUCGUGAUAGAGGCAUUCCGAGUAACGUUUAUCCACCCACCUUCCUAUAGUGGAAAGGAAAUCCUUCCCUAAAUUCUACUUCCCCGGGAUAUCGAGGCACUUGAAUUUGUAACGCUUUUUCUUCCCCCCCAAAACGUGCACCAAAGCUAAGAAUGGUGUGGUUUUAGUUGUCGGAAUGGGGGAAGGAAGACGAAAAUGACGAGUGGAUGUGGCUCAUAAAGCAGCAUGACUUUUUAUGGACCCUGUCAAAAGUGGUCUUAUUUUUUUGUCUUUCCCGGCACGCGAAUAGCAACAGGAUGAAUGGUGGAGCACAAGCAAGAUAGAAAAAAAUAUCAUGCAUUUUGGAGAAAGAAAAACUAUAACAGUCAAUUGCACCGAUGCUUCAUUGGGUUUCGUCUCCAAAAAAAGAAGAAAAAAAAAACAGAAAACAAAUCGUUCGAAUUGUUGCACACGGUUUGGGUGAAAGGACGACAUCCGCGCAUGGACACUAUUCGCCAAUGUCCGCUUGUUCCAAUGUUUCUCCUGUCGAGCGGAAAUUGCUUUCCAAACUGCACGACGUCUUCACUUGUGGGAGCUUUUGUAGUUAAAGUGCAAAUGAUAGGCUCGCUUGCCUGUGCCAUCAUCCCUCAGUGGAUGCCUUUAUUUGUGGGUGUCUUUUUUGGGGAAGAGAUCGAUUUUUUGUUGUUGUUGGUUUUCUGGUUCUGCAAAAACUAACCUCACUUCAUGCAUGAAUGCCAUUAGUCACUGGCCUCGUGUCCGGCAAACCGGCAUAUUUGCUCGAGAACUUACCAUCGAGAACGGGCGGAAGGAACGAACGCUUUUCCGCUACGGCCCAGACUCGUCUAAUGGGGCCUUAUAUGUGCGGUACGUGCUCCUCGGGGGGUUUCCUAGUGGUCCGUGAUCUAUGGCAAAAUCACGAACCUUUUCAGGGUAAUAAAUUAAGUUCGAGAUUCGAACCCAAGACCUGCUUUCUUUUGGGGGUGGGGUGGUCCUUAUUUUCUCCGUACCAGACGCAAGUCUUCACAUCCGGCUUCGGGAUGGCUGCUCUCAACAAAAUCCGAGACCAUUGAAAUGCUGAUUCGAUCGAAUGUUACCUAAAUGGGGGAGGAAUCUUUCGAUCACACAUAUUGGUGACUGUGAAAGUGAAACCUGUACGUCCACACCGUCUCUGAAUUCUGGUGUUGCGUCCUUUUUUUGGGGAGGAGAGAAAAAUAGUUCGAUGUCCUUGCGGUUUUUUGCCAAUGAAUGGAUAGACGUACCGACAGAGCAUCUUUCGUGUCUUUCAACGUGUUGUCCCCUUACUCUCCUACAUGAAGCAGGAUUUAUGUAUGUAUGAAAACGUGACUUCUAAGUGAAAGUGUGGUAUAUGAGAGUCCCUUUCGCAUUGGAAAACACGGUAUACCAUUUUGGUUGUUGUUCUUGUUGCUCAAUAUCCGUUAGUGCCUUUCGUUGCUGUCCCAACACAAAACGAAUGAUUGGUGGGACGAUCUUCUUCAAUGGUCGAUUUAGUCUAUCGAGCUUCCUGCUUUAACUCGUACAGAAUAAGCAAUUCGUUGUUGUCAUAAAUAUAUUUUAUUUAUGCUUCGAUUUGUAGAUUCAUUUGCGGUUCGGUAACCCCAACCAUGGGAAAAAAGCACAAAUUCCUCCGAUUCUUCAUUUGCCUUUUGGUUCAGGAGUACGCCUCGUAAAACUAAAAAUGGUAAAAGAUUUUUUUUUGAGGAUUUUGAGGAUUGUUGAUUCCAUUUUUUCGGCAUGAGAGUUUGUGUCACACGGCAUGGGAGUUUGGGUUCCGCUAGAUUACCACCCUCCUCCUACCGUGUGACCUCUUUUAUUUUAGUGUUUCGAUUUCGAGUUUCGAAAGCGAUUCACCUUUUUGGCGGGCUGUUUUUUUUUUGCGUGCGCCCUCUUACGAGUGGUGCCCAGAAGUAAAGGUUUAUUGGCGGUAGUUAAUCAUUUUUAUUCUCGAAAGCAAUCCAUUAACGUGAUUCUUAAUCGAGCGAAACCAUUUUAUGGCACCAGACUACGACGCCGACGACGACGAUAGCUCCGGAGAAUGAAUUCGUAAACGGAUCCGGGUUCUUCUGCCACGGUGUAGACAUUGCCUGGUGUCUCAGACAAGCAUACUUUUCGCAUUUUUAUGUUCCCGCAUGUUGUUCAAACGGUUCGGUCGGUCGCAUAAGCUUAAGCAAUAAUACUUUAUUUUAAUGUAAAAUCACUAGCAGCGGCGUUAAAAAAAAACAAUGCCAACCGUGUACUUAAAAGUCCGACAACAAUCUCUCCUAUAAGAGUUGAUAUUAACCGGCGUGAUACUGUGUCCCGUGUGCUGCUCUCGUUGUGUGUGUGUUGACCACUCAACGAUCCGUAGAAAAGGGAUACUCAUUAAUGCAGUGUGUACGAGACUCUUUUCUCUCGCCCAGCCCAUUCUAGAAGGGCUCCAAUUUCUACUGAUCGAUUUCCUGGUGCUUAAUGAAGCUUAUCAUGGGUGUUUUGUAGUAGCUCCACUAACCACUCGAAUCUCAGUCUGGGUAUGCGAGGUGAGGUUUUUUUUCUUCAAAGAUUAAUCUUCCUUACUUUGCAUCACACUGUUAAGUGUUUGUGUACUUAUUGUGUACACGAGCUUUUUGUUACUCGAAGGGAUCUACACUACACGGGCCCAAGAUAGUGCACACCGGGAUCCUUAUCGUUUAAUGAGGGUUGACCCAUUUGGCAGUGGAUAUAAAAAUCAAAUCAUGCCCCGAUCAUGGGUAUCGUUUUGGUUGGUUUCUCUUAACGGUGACACCAAUGAAUAGCCACCGUACACCCUGUGUAGAUGCUUCGAAACAUAAGCUUUUUGUUGUAGGUGUCGAAUUAAGGUUCCAAUUUUUUCCCCCUCACUUUUAUCACACCCAAAUACAGCCAUCGAGUCGGAUCGUUGGAGAAUUCGAUAUAAAAUUAAGGAUAAAAGCCCCUUGGAACAGGCGUUGAAGUGAAUUGAGCCAGUGUACGUGUUUUGAUUAGGCUUUUAAUAGUGUCGUUUGUUGUCUGUUUCGAGAGUUGGAAAGCUGGAAAUAGAUAACAUGAUUUCGUACAUUCAACACAUGCCACUUCUCACGUUACGGAGAUAAGCAAUCUGCUAGUGAUGUUCAUACACCGUAAGCUCGUCUGUACCCCGAGGACCGCUUUACCACCUUCCAUGAGGCUAUCCGUCCGUUCUAGCAUGUUUGAUUGUCUUGAUAAUGAAUUUCAUACACCAGGAUGACAAUACAAAUAGUAGCCCCAAGACCAGAACCACACAUGCAUACAACAACAAAACAAAAAAGUUAUUGGACUUGAUCUCGACCACAGCAUGUCUCAUCUGCCGUAACAACGCUCUUUAUCUUGAUCUCUUUGUUUAGCCCAAGCUCAAGGCAGCAUGGCAGCAGAAUCGUGCGCCAACACUGAGGAUCUGCUUUGUUUGCUUUCAAUCAGCACACACCACAUAAUACGGUACAUCGGGUCGCAGCGUGUUGCAAAACAAUGCACCAAACCAUAUUGGUGCAAUUUUUAGCUCCAUUUCUGCAAUGGAACGUUGGGAGAUUUCAGUAUUUUUGUGCUUCGGUCUAUUCUAUGGGAGUAGGUUUUUUUUUCCUCCCCUUUUUAGCCCAUCAGUAACUACAACCAUUUUGCCAUCGUGUCUGAUGCAAGUCGAUGGGUCAAGAAAAGAACACGUGAGACAGUCCCAUGUUGUAAGGGAAGUUGCGCCGUAGUUGAAUCUCGUACUCGGUGAUUGUUUUCGUUUUUCUCGCUUUUUACCAUUCUAGAAGAGAAAAAAAAAUCAACCGGAUCUGCAAUAUGUAGAACCCGGAUCUUCAGCAAAAUCCAUCUUUAAUUUCAUCUUCUCGCUGUACAUCCGGACGUGCUUGAACUGGAAACGAUGUACAAUACUUGAGGAGUGAGGGCAACUUUAGCAUUAAUGUUGUGAUAAAAAAGAGGGAGAAAUGUUUCCGAGCUCACAAAGAUCAAAAACGGCGGGAGGGAUUAUUGCUUGAGUUGUUCAUUGUGCGAACAGGCCCAUAGUCCAUAGGCAUCAUUAGUCAUGAGACUCCCGGUUCCCUUGUGUCUGGUGCCGGAUGAGACAUGUUCCGUGUGUUUGCAAUCAUUUGGAUGACUUUGAGUUGUCUUUAUGAUGAUAACCAGGGUGAAGGAGUCUGUCGUCUGCUUCACUUGGUAACGUCGUAAAUGCAUGUCCAGAGUGAGUUUUGUUUGAAGUAUUCAAUUUCCUCUAAUCGCAAUGAUGGCGACCGACCAAGAGUAUCUUAACUAUUAGCGUAGGUCUGUGCUAUCCAUGGUCGAGUGUUGCUUUUCAACAUUAAUUUAUCAUUUUGCCUAAUGCUUCACAUUAAUCAGGUCGAAUUUCAAGGUAAAUGCAGUUGCCCUAUCAAUAUCGUUGUGUGCUACUCGUUUAUCAUAACUUCCGCUUUCCGCCUAUAGUCACAUUCAGAUUGGGAAGACCUUCAAAGAGGGAGACAUAGAGCAAAACAAAGCGAAAUAAGCCCACACAAAAUAAAAAAACCUGGGAAUGAAAAGAAAUGGAAGUUUUUCGUAAAUGUGCCAUCCCUGUCCAUCGUACCCCGCACUUGGUGUGACCAUUUGUCAAAUGAACCUCGACGGUUUGCCGGUUUAGAGAAUUAAAAAUUCAAAAUUCAAUUUCUUACUGCGCGAACGUGCCAUGGUUGCUUUUUUACGGCGGGUCUCUAUUCGUUUUUUUGUGUUCCAACAGCAUUUUUAUGUUCCGGCUUGAUAUUUUCGUGGUACCGUUUUUGUUCUGGGUCAGAUAACAGUUUUUCCAUGUAAGAUGGUGCUUUACUGUAAAGCAAAUUGUCGCCCGAAGCGUGUGCAAUUUUUGGAUCACAAAAUUAAAGAGGCCAGUAGUCGCUUUUGUCCCUCUGCUGUUGGCUGCGAAGUUGACAAGUUUUUUGGGUGAGAAAAGCUAACUUUCUGUCUAAUUUUUUUCCCCCGUCGACCAUUUUGAUGAGCUACGAAAUUUCUGCUUCCAGACAAAGUUUGUAGGAUAGGAUUUGGCUUAGUGUGUUUGCAAUUUUGCCCAGCUGAGAUGGUUGAUAGAUCCGGUACGAUUCAUCCUUUGUUCCAGAGUCCCGUUCUCGUUUGUACUGGGUGAAAAGUUUUUCCUACGAAUCCGGUUAGAGUCACUGGAAAAUAGACAAACUUAGUCACGAAAUUUUGUCAUGUUCAUGGUACAAAAGCUACGAAAGGGGAUAAUUUUUGACACCCAAACAAUCGAAUCUUCCGAAAAAAGUCAUGCGGAGUAGUAGGGGUUUUGGGAGAAUUUUUUGGGGGGAGAAUAUUUUCUCAGAACCGGGCACCCAACCCAGGUUACAGACAUCUUUCGAUUUUUGUGAAACAGUAAACUCAUUAUCACACCCUUGUAAAAAAAAAAUGCGAAACACUCAAGGAAAUGGGUAACGUAACGUGGCGUUCGUACCCAAUUGAGUCAGCGCUUUUCAGCCGAUUCUUCUUGUCUGUCUCGCUUUCGCAUUGAAACGGCCCAACCCAAAAGGCGCAACGUUACCCGGAUGAUCCCGGUCAAAUUAUGGAAUGGCAGCUGUUUCGGAUCGGAUAGCAAUGGCUUCGGCUAUCCGAAAGCGUAAAGGAUAAGGGUGGGUUCACGGGGCCGUCUGCUACCAUUCCCAUGCCGUAGAAAUUCUUUCUCUCUUUUCAACCUUAUUUUAUCAUCGCAGCUGUGCAACGGUGGAUAGGAAUUUGGUGGAAAAUGGUAUCGUUUGAAAUGCAGAACCGUGGAAGCAACGAUACCACAUCCUUUUUUCUAAUGCUUUUUGUGUUUCAGUUCUAUGCUGUUGAAAUGUUUUCAAGGUUGGGCGCGUAACUUCGAGGGAGAAUGCAACGAUCGGACUGAACGGAGAAGAUUAACUGUACGUGAACUGAUACAGAGGAAACCUUCACUGUGGCCACUCGUUUUUGGUGGUAUGAUUUGUUUGUAUGCAGUCGCUGUGAUGCCGUCAGCUGUGCCAAUUCGGUACGGGAGGCACUUCAUGCGGUGUGUCGGCGAUUAGGGUCGGCCUAUUCCUUCCGUGUGUUUUCCGCAAUGCGAUUGCAAUGUCCCAUAUUUGUUGCUUAUCGAUUAGCUACAUUCUCUUGUUUUUUGAAUUUUUAGUGUUGUUUUAUCUCUUUUUCGGUUUGUAAAAAUAUCUCGAAGGGCAACGGACUAGAUGCAUUUUUGAAGAGAAAUUGGUUUAUUGUGGGAUGAGUAAAAUGUGGUAACUUUUCCGUACAGAUAGCAAUGGUUUGUGAGUGCAUAUAUGCGGGUAAUGCUUUCAACAUACACAAACAUACACAUGUAUAUGUUCGAUAGCUUUUAUAGCAUGGACGAUGCAUCAUGGCACUAUUAUUGCUGCCACUGUUGAACGUUUGCGUGAUAAGGAAUAUGACUACAGCCUGGAACGCAACUGAUCGUGUUAUUGAUGUUUUCAGAAGGGUCGCUUAUCAGUUGGGAUUUAAUGAUAAAUCGAUUGCUUGACACAGUGCCAACCGAGACACGAUCGAAAAAGGGAGAGAACAUUACAUUUCUCCGCCCUUACCUACACUCCCUACAGGCAAGCGGUAUUUGCGCAAAAAAGGCCGGCUAAGCUGCACAAACACGUCUGUUUGUGAUCGUUUUUAAUGUUGUUGCUGACUAGCCGUAGAAUAUCGAUUGCAUUGAGUGGAACACAGAGCAACAGAAGAGGAGAACACUAGUGCCUCGGGUUUCUCUUUCUUUUUUUUUAAACCGCUGCAAAUUAUCCGUCCAUUCGCAUCUCCACCAUUUGUGGCCGUUCAGCUGUUCCUCGGGAUGGAAAUGAAAAUCGACACGUUUGCUUUCAUGGCUGUUGCUAGUCGCGUGGAUCAACAUACUUGAAGGUAAAG